AUGCCAUUCGGAUUGUGCAACGCGCCAGCCAUGUUUCAGUGCCUGAUGAACACAGUCUUCGGCCGUUAUGUCCGUAAGUUCAUAAUCAUUUUCCUGGAUGACAUCUUGGUUUUCAGUUUCGACCUGCAGGAACACGAACAACACCUGCGCCUCACCUUGGACCUCCUUCGUGAGCACCAGCUGUUUGCCAAGGCCAGCAAGUGUUCGUUCGCGCAAACCAGUAUUGAGUACCUCGGGCAUGUGAUCUCACAAGACGGCGUUGCCACAGACACAAGCAAGACCAGUGCUAUGCAGGCCUGGCCCGUGCCCUCGACACCAACCGAGCUGCGGGGAUUCUUGGGAUUGACAGGCUAUUACCGCAAGUUCGUUCCUCACUAUGGCAUCAUCGCCAAGCCUCUGACACAGCUUCUCUCGAAGAAAGGGUUUGUUUGGAGCGACACGGCUCAGCGAGCGUUCGACAUGCUCAAGCAGGCGAUGACGAGCACGCCGGUUUUGGCCCUUCCCAACUUCACACGGCCGUUC
rnacentral:rRNA from 1 species